rnacentral:rRNA from 1 species
AGCGCAGACGGUUAUUUAAGCAAGAUGUGAAAGCCCCGGGCUCAACCUGGGAACUGCGUUUUGAACUGGGUAACUAGAGUGUGUCAGAGGGGGGUAGAAUUCCACGUGUAGCAGUGAAAUGCUUAGAGAUGUGGAGGAAUACCGAUGGCGAAGGCAGCCCCCUGGGAUAACACUGACGUUCAUGCUCGAAAGCGUGGGUAGCAAACA